rnacentral:rRNA from 1 species
CAAUAGCGUAUAUUAAAGUUGUUGCAGUUAAAAAGCUCGUAGUUGGAUUUCUGGAUGGAGCGACCGGUCGGGCAUUAAUUUGUCUGCACUGGAGUCGGUUCCGUCCAUCCUCUUGGAAAGUGCGUGGGGCAUUAAGUUGUCUGGCGUAUGAUCCAAGUCGUUUACUGUGAAAAAAUUAGAGUGUUUAAAGCAGGCCUUCGCCUUGAAUACAUUAGCAUGGAAUAAUAAGAUAGGACUUUGGUCUAUUUUGUUGGUUUGCAGACCGAAGUAAUGAUUAAUAGGGAUAGUUGGGGGUAUUUAUAUUCCGAUGUCAGAGGUGAAAUUCUUAGAUUUUCGGAAGAUAAACUUAUGCGAANGNAUUUACNAAGGAUGUUUNCAUUA